CCUACGGGGGGCAGCAGUGGGGAAUAUUGGACAAUGGGCGAAAGCCUGAUCCAGCCAUGCCGCGUGUGUGAAGAAGGCCUUCGGGUUGUAAAGCACUUUCAGUGGGGAAGAAAGCCUUGGGGCUAAUACCCUCGAGGAAGGACAUCACCCACAGAAGAAGCACCGGCUAACUCCGUGCCAGCAGCCGCGGUGAUACGGAGGGUGCGAGCGUUAAUCGGAAUUACUGGGCGUAAAGCGCGCGUAGGCGGUCUGAUAAGCCGGUUGUGAAAGCCCCGGGCUCAACCUGGGAACGGCAUCCGGAACUGUCAGGCUAGAGUGCAGGAGAGGAAGGUAGAAUUCCCCGUGUAGCGGUGAAAUGCGUAGAGAUCGGGAGGAAUACCAGUGGCGAAGGCGGCCUUCUGGACUGACACUGACGCUGAGGUGCGAAAGCGUGGGUAGCAAACAGGAUUAGAUACCCCGGUAGUC
rnacentral:rRNA from 1 species